UUUGAAGGCUAGGAUCAGAAGGUUUAGGUUUUUGGUUAAGGUUUUGGUGCGAGUUUUGUGUCAUUUGGGGUUUUUAUGAAGAAGUUAUAGGCGCUCAAAGUUAAGGUGUUAGUUUUGGACGUACUGUCUUUCUUUUGGGCAUAACGCACGCGUACGGACGGAAAUUGAGGAUCGGCGACCGCGACUGGAUAGAGCACUUUUGCGGCUAUACUUUUCACAUACUGAUUACUGGAUUCUAAGUUGGGAUGAAGGAGUUAUUGGAUUUUGAAGUCAGCACAUGCAAUCUAAGGGUAGUAAAUAAACCGAUUUACUAGUGUUUGUCUCUUGAGCCAUAUCUUGAGCAAUUUUGUGAGGUUUUGGCUCAAAAUUUCAAGGAAUGUGUAAUUUCAUGUUAAUAAACUUUGUGCAUAAGAUUUAUGACAUUUGGAGUUCGGGUUUUUGAGAUAUAAGGAAAAUAGUUUUCAGGUGCUUGUAAAUUAGGGUUUGGAGUGUCUGCUAGGGUUUCUUAGAUGCCAAAAGAUCGGGAGUGAAUUCGCGGUUGGUUUUUUUUGUGGUACAAGUUAUGGGUAAAUUCUACUUAUCUUGUAAAUUUGAAACAAACUGAACGGUUUGAUCAAUAGUGAUGAUUUUCUAAAGUUCAGGGCGAGAAAACCCUUCGCGGGAAAAAUAUAUUUUGAAGGGAUUUUGUUAUAUUUGGA
rnacentral:lncRNA from 1 species